AUAUAUAUAUAUAGAGUUGGACUGGGCUACUAUUAGUAGCAAAAUUCCAUUGUUGCUUCCAGUUUUUUAGCCUUUGGAUCAACUUUUUUCAUUAUUUCUAACCAUUGGAUUAAAUACUAUAAUCCAGUGGGGACCACUCAACCCUAUGGGGACCACUCAACUCUAACUGACUAAUAUCAUCCUUACCCUAUAAUUUUUCAUCCAAGGGUUAAAAACUUGAUAGCAAAAAGAGCGUUUUAUUAUUAAUAGUAUUCCAGCCUAAUUCUAUAUGUAUAUAAUACAAAAUAAAUUCGGGUUCGGGUUGGGUCGGGUACAGUCAAAAUUCAUAUCCGUCGGAUUUCUAUUUUUGAUAUUCAUAUCCGAAUCCAUAUCCAUUUAGCAUCAGAUAUAUCCUUUCAUUCGGCUUCGGGUUCGGAUAAAAUUUCAGAUAUUCAUAUCCAUUGACAUCCCUAUCCGUGCAAAAAUGAUACUUCACAGAGUUUACAUGCUAUAUACA
rnacentral:lncRNA from 1 species